rnacentral:rRNA from 1 species
AUUGAAAGCUGGCGGCAGGCCUAACACAUGCAAGUCGAACGAGUGGCGGAAGGGUGAGUAAUGUCUGGGAAACUGCCCGAUGGAGGGGGAUAACUACUGGAAACGGUAGCUAAUAACGCAUCCCAUCGGAUGUGCCCAUAGGGGAUUGGCUAGUAGGUGGGGUAACGGCUCACCUGGGCGACGAUCCCUAGCUGGUCUGCGAGGAUGACCAGCCACACUGGGACUGAGACACGGUCCAGACUCCUACGGGAGGCAGCAGUGGGGAAUAUUGCACAAUGGGCGCAAUCCUGAUGCAGCCAUGCCGCGUGUAUGAAGAAGGCCUUCGGGUUGUAAAGUACUUUCAGCGGGUAGGCGUUACCCGCAGAAGAAGCACCGGCUAACUCCGUGCCAGCAGCCGCGGUAAUUC